rnacentral:rRNA from 1 species
CCUACGGGAGGCAGCAGUAGGGAAUCUUUCACAAUGGGCGAAAGCCUGAUGGAGCAACGCCGCGUGCAGGAUGAAGGCCUUCGGGUUGUAAACUGCUUUUAUAAGCGAGAAAUAUGAUGGUAACUUAUGAAUAAGGAUCGGCUAACAACGGGACAGCGGCUGCGGUCAUACGUAGGAUCCGUGCAUUAUCCGGAGUGACUGGGUGUAAAGAGUUGCGUAGGUGGCGUAAUAAGUAGCUAGUGAAAGCUGGUGGCUCAACCAUUCAGACUAUUAGCUAAACUGUUAAGCUCGAGACCGUUGGGGGAAAGGGGAAUGUGUGGUGUAGGAGUGAAAUGCGUAGAUAUUA